AUUGAACGCUGGCGGCAGGCCUAACACAUGCAAGUCGAGCGGAUGAAGGGAGCUUGCUCCUGGAUUCAGCGGCGGACGGGUGAGUAAUGCCUAGGAAUCUGCCUGGUAGUGGGGGAUAACGUCCGGAAACGGGCGCUAAUACCGCAUACGUCCUGAGGGAGAAAGUGGGGGAUCUUCGGACCUCACGCUAUCAGAUGAGCCUAGGUCGGAUUAGCUAGUUGGUGGGGUAAAGGCCUACCAAGGCGACGAUCCGUAACUGGUCUGAGAGGAUGAUCAGUCACACUGGAACUGAGACACGGUCCAGACGCCUACGGGAGGCAGCAGUGGGGAAUAUUGGACAAUGGGCGAAAGCCUGAUCCAGCCAUGCCGCGUGUGUGAAGAAGGUCUUCGGAUUGGAAAGCACUUUAAGUUGGGAGGAAGGGCAGUAAGUUAAGACCUUGCUGUUUUGACGUUACCAACAGAAUAAGCACCGGCUAACUUCGUG
rnacentral:rRNA from 1 species